rnacentral:lncRNA from 10 species
UUUCCAAGGAGACGCGGGCGCACUGCCCCUCCCUUGCUUCCUCCUCUUCCCUCCUUCCUCUCCUAGUUUCUUCCCUCCCUUCCCGCCCUACUCCUUCCCUCCCUUCCCACCCUACUCCUUUCGGCUGCUCUGGUGCCCACCCCCAGUGCCUCGAGGUCGAGGAGAGCUCCUCGGCCCCGCAGGACGGGGAGGAUUCUGUACAGAUGAGCAUAACUUUAGCACGAUAUCGGCUCACUGCAACCUACACUUCUGGGGUUCAAGCGAUUCUCAUGCCUUGGCCUCCAGAGCAGCUGGGACUACAGGCAUACAACAAAACAAGAGGAGACAGCAAAGGAGACAGGGAAGAACUAAAGAGCUGGUUAGAGAAGGAAGAGAAAGAUGAGGUCUGCCAUGGAAGCCCAAGGAACAGUUUGCAGAAGAAGGAGAUUCAUUGGUCAAUAGGGUCAAGUGAGGCCGGGCGCAGUGGCUCACGCCUGUAAUCCCAACACUUUGGGAGGCCGAGGGCGGAUCACAAGGUCAGGAGUUCGAGACCAGCCUGUCCAACAUGGUGAAACCCCGUCUCUACUAAAAAUACAAAAAUUAGCCAGGUGUGGUGGCGUGCACCUGUAAUCCCAGCUACUCAGGAGGCUGAGGCAGGAGAAUUGCUUGAACCCGGGAGGCGGAGGGUGCAGUAAGCCGAGAUCCCACCACUGCACUCCAGCCUGGGCGACAGAGCGAGACUCAAUCUCAAAACAAAACAAACAAAAAACAAAACAAAACAAAAAACAGGGUCAAAUGAGAUAAGAAGCCCACUGGAUUUGGCUACUGGGAAACUGCUGGUGGCCUUUGCCAAAGCUAUUCAGAUUGGGGGGUGGAUGGCUGCCAUGUUGCAGGUGGCUGGAAGAGAAGAAAGAAGUGAAGACACUGAGCUCACUGAAGGUAGGGACUGGGCCUCUUUUCUAGUGCCGAGGGAAGCCACCCAACAUAUGUCCUCUGAAUGAGUUAAUCAAUUUGGAUUGAAAGGGGGAUAUGCAGUGGUAGGAGAAACAGGAUUGACAGAGUGUUUUGUUUUAUGAUGUCUAUAGCCUGUAAGGGGGGAAAAAAGAAGCCAGUAAAGAAGGAGAAGGUGUCACUUCUGGCUGGGACCUAAAAUAUAGAUGCUUUGGGCAUGAGAAAGGAGGGACACCCUUUUCCCAGGCAAGCAAAGUUGAUGAGGGUUGGAGUGUCCACAGAUAAUGGCGGUGAAAUUAUCUGCUGAGAGAAACAGUGGUUGCAGGAGUUUCCAGGAAGUGCUUAAAGUCAUUCAUUCAUUCUUUUGUUCAUUUAACAAAUUUUGAGUACUUGCCGUGCUGUGGAAAACAGGAGGAGGAGCUGACCAGAGACUUAUAGGAGGAUGACCAAGUGCCACUGAAGGCUUGCUGAAGACCCCAAGCAAUCAGUUUCCCUUCCUUAAGCAGACCUCAAGUCCAGUGCCUCAAGGGAUAAAGCUAGUUGUGGGAAGGAAAGGCAAAGGGGCAGACUGUCUUGUGGCUGCUAAUGGCUGAGGGAGCUGCCACCCCAGUUGGAGGUCUGCUUAGGGUCAUCCUCUGUCCAGGCUCCACACACCCUGGGACAGUUUCUGGAGCUGUCCCUCCUUGCCUAGACCCUGGCUGGCUCCUAUUCAUCACUAACUCUAGUGAUGCUCCUUCCAAGAAGUCUUCCAUAGUCCCCAGUCCUCCUUUCCAGUCCUGAUGUAAACAGGUUACCCAGCUGGGAGAGAGGACAUCUGCUGGCUGGUGUGGCGUCCAGCACUGAUGUGUCUACCUUCUCUGAAGGUGACUGCAAGGAGCCUGACAAGUGCUGCUGGAGACACAAGCAGUGCACUGGGCACAUCAUCUACCCUUUCGCCUCUGACUGUGUCCGCCACAGCCUGCACCUACACUCUGUCAACCACUGCAACUGUAAUUCUAGGCUGAAGGACUCUUCAGAGGAUAGCAGCAGCUCCCGGGGCGCGGGCCCAACCUGCUCCCAUGUCAUCGAGUCCCCUUGCUUUGAGCUCACACCGGAGGAGGAGCAUGUGGAGCGAUUCCGGUAUGGCUGGUGCAAAAGCUACAGACCUGUCUCUGUGGCAGUGAUCCACCAUCCACUCUACCAUGAGUGUGGGGCAGAUGAUCUAAAUGAAGAAGAGGAAGAGGAGGAGGAGGAAAGCAAGCCCCCCAUCCCGACACAGGU